rnacentral:misc_RNA from 1 species
GAUGAAGAACGUAGUGAAAUGCGAUAAGUAAUGUGAAUUGCAGAAUUCAGUGAAUCAUCGAAUCUUUGAACGCACAUUGCGCCCGCCAGUAUUCUGGCGGGCAUGCCUGUUCGAGCGUCAUUUCAACCAUCAAGCCCCCGGCUUGUGUUGGGGACCUGCGGCUGCCGCAGGCCCUGAAAAGCAGUGGCGGGCUCGCUGUCACACCGAGCGUAGUAGCAUACAUCUCGCUCUGGGCGUGCUGCGGGUUCCGGCCGUUAAACCACCUUCAUAACCCAAGGUUGACCUCGGAUCAGGUAGGAAGACCCGCUGAACUUAAGCAUAUCAAUAAGCGGGAGGA